rnacentral:rRNA from 1 species
AGCGGGAAAAGCCCAAAUUGAAAAGCCUGCUUGCAGGCGUUGUAGUUGAGCGUCCUCGGGUUGUCAGUGUGGGCAAGUCGCAUGGAAAUGCGCGCCGUGGAGGGUGAGAGCCCCGUCCAACUCACACAGGACAUACCCGCACGAGGGCGUUUCAGAUGAGUCGGGUAGCUUGGGAAUGCUGCUCUAAUCGGUGGUAAAUCUCAUCGAAGGCUAAAUAGCGGCUGGAGACCGAUAGCGAACAAGUACCGUGAGGGAAAGAUGACAAGCACUUUGAAAAGAGGGUGAAAAGAGCCUGAAACCGUCACGGGGGAAGCGGAUUGCGUUGGAUUGAUGGGCGCUUGUGUGUUCAGCCUUCGGGUGCAUUGGCACAAGUGCUUAUCCGCUGUGAGUUUCUGGGGGUCGAUUUUGGACCCCUGGGGACUGAGGGCUCCCUUUUUUUUAGGUGAGGACAGCGGAGUGACGACGCGAUACGACCCGUCUUGAAACACGGACCAAGGAGUCUAGCGCGGGUGCGAGUCGGAGGGUGCAAGCCCGUGGGCGAAGUGAAAGCGAGUUUUAAAAACGAGCAGUUUGGGGCGGCAUAAGAUCGUUGAUCUUAAGACCGACCCGGAGCAGUUGCGCUGGGACCCGAAAGAUGGUGAACUAUGCCGGAGUAGGGCAAAGCCAGAGGAAACUCUGGUGGAGGCUCGUAGCGGUGCUGACGUGCAAAUCGCUCGUCGAACUUGGGUAUAGGGGCGAAAGACUAAUCGAACCAUCUAGUAGCUGGUUCCCUCCGAAGUUUCUCUCAGGAUAGCGGGCCGACAAGUUGUUUUGUGCGGUAAAGCGAAUGAUUAGCGCAUUCGGGGGCGUUUAGCCUUUGGGCGAUUCUCAAACUUUCAAUGCGCAAGGGUGCCGCUGCUUAAUUGAGCGGUACCGGUAAAAACGUCGGCCCUGUGGGCCACUUUUGGUAAGCA